rnacentral:rRNA from 1 species
UACGAAGGGGGCGAGCGUUGUUCGGAAUUACUGGGCGUAAAGGGCGCGCAGGCGGCCGAUCAAGUCAGAUGUGAAAGUCCUGGGCUUAACCUGGGGACUGCAUUUGAUACUGAUUGGCUUGAAUGCAGGAGAGGAUAGCGGAAUUCCCAGUGUAGAGGUGAAAUUCGUAGAUAUUGGGAAGAACACCGGUGGCGAAGGCGGCUAUCUGGACUGUGAUUGACGCUGAGGCGCGAAAGCGUGGGGAGCAAACAGG